CAGUCGCCACGGGAAUACAGAGGGUGCGAGCGUUAAUCGGAUUUACUGGGCGUAAAGCGUGCGUAGGCGGCUUCUUAAGUCGGAUGUGAAAUCCCUGAGCUUAACUUAGGAAUUGCAUUCGAUACUGGGAAGCUAGAGUAUGGGAGAGGAUGGUAGAAUUCCAGGUGUAGCGGUGAAAUGCGUAGAGAUCUGGAGGAAUACCGAUGGCGAAGGCAGCCAUCUGGCCUAAUACUGACGCUGAGGUACGAAAGCAUGGGGAGCAAACAGGAUUAGAUACCCCCGUAGUCCCUGUCUAUUAUAC
rnacentral:rRNA from 1 species